GUAAAGAAUGUGGAAAAGCUUUCAGUCAAAAAACAGACCUUAUUUACCACACCAGAACACACACUGGAGAGAAGCCCUACAAAUGCAAAGAAUGCAGCAAAGCUUUCAGUCAAAAAACAAACCUUAUUUACCACACCAGAAUUCACACUGGAGAGAAGCCCUACAAAUGCAAAGAAUGUGGCAAAGCUUUCAGUCAAAAAUCAAAUCUUAUUUGCCACAGAAGAACUCACACUGUAGAGAAGCCCUACAAAUGCAAAGAAUGUGGCAAAGCUUUCAGUCAAAAAUCAAAACUUAUUUGCCACAGAAGAAC
rnacentral:lncRNA from 1 species